CCAUCGCGGCCAUUUUAUUCGAGUUUCUUUUGUGUAUCGGUUCCUAGUGUAUUCCCUCGUAUUCGCGUUUUCUACUGUAGUACUGUACCGCGUAUUUCUGCAUCUUUCCCGUGUGUUUUGUUUUUUGUACGUUUCAUUCCUCGCGUCCCUCCCAGUGGGCAUGUUCGCCAAAGUGAAAUUUCUGCAAGAUGGCAAAGUAUCAAUCGUCCAGACAGCUCUUGUGAAGAACUUUCAUCCAGCCAACGUGGCUGACUUUGAAAGGAGGACGACUUACAAAGUAUUUUGGGAUGGGGACGAAAACACUCGAGGUGGAUACUACGAUGCAGAGAUCAUCAAGCUGGCGGAUACCAAGGAGAAGCUGUCGGAGCCAUCAGCCAGGCGGGAACGGGCAUCAGAACCAGCAGCCAAGCGGUCCUCCAGCUUAGAAAAGUCAGGAACCCUGACGAAA
rnacentral:lncRNA from 1 species